CCGACGCCAAUAGAGGGAUGGCUUGGCUUGAGAAGAGAUGAAGGACGUGGCAAGCUGCGAUAAGCUUAGGGUAGGUGCAGGCGACCUAUGAUCCUGAGAUGUCCGAAUUGGAAUCCUAUGCGUAAGCAUACUCAAUUACAAUGGUAGUUGAGAUCGAACCGUGGGAAGUGAAGCAUCUGAGUACCACGUGGAAAAGAAAUCAACAGAGAUUUCCCAAGUAGCGGCGAGCGAAAAGGAAAUAGCCCAAACUGAAUCUGCCAUGGUAACAUGGUAGAGAUGUGGUGUUGUUAUGGUAUUACGAUCCUCAAAUCAGAGCUUAAGUGGCCUGGAAAGGCCUGGCGAAGAAGGUGAUACCCCCGUGAGCGAAGGAAGAGAGGAUCUUACUAUAACGUGAGUAGUUGUCCUUGGUAGUGGGCAAUGAAUUUAGGUGAAAGUAGCAUCUAAGGCUAAAUAUUUCUCAAGACCGAUAGCGGAGUAGUACCGCGAGGGAAAGCUGAAAAGUACCCCGGAAGGGGGGUGAAAAGUGCCUGAAAUCUAUUGGUUACAGACGUGCAUGGCAUGAAAGGGGUUUUUGUCAGAUUGGAGGUUCUAGCAAUAGGGCUGAAGGUCUGGCGUUCAUAGCUCCAGUGUCAUGCGUUCCGUCUAGAAACACGGGCCAGGGAGCUUACUGUUAUGGCGAGCCUAAAUCUGCAAAAGAUGGAGGCGAAGGGAAACCAAGUUCCCGCAGUGAAUAACGAGGGGAAGCGUGUGAAAGUGCGUAGAGUCAUAGCGGUAAGGCUAGAAACCAGACGAUCUAUCCCUGAACAAGACGAAGUUGGGCGAAAGCCUGAUGGAGGUCUGAAGCAGUUCUAACGUGCAAUUUGUUUGUCUGAUUUGGGGAUAGGGGUCAAAAACCAAUCUAGUCUGGUGAUCGCUAGUUCCUAACGAAGUGUAUCGCAGUACAGCCUUUAUGGAGACAGCGUGUCUUGUAGAGCACCGAUAGGGCAUGUCGGGAGAGAAAUCUUUCGCUGCCUAUUCAAACUCCGAAGAGAUGUGCGUCUAAGAAGUAAAGAGACGGAUUUACGUGGCGUAAGGCUCGUAAUCAAGAGGGGGACAACCCAGACUGAAGUUAAGGUCCCCAAGUUUUUGCUAAGUGUCAAACUGAAGGGCGUAUUUAAGCCAAGACAGCAGGGAGGUAAGCUCAGAAGCAGCUAUCCUUUAAAAAGUGCGUAACAGCUUACCUGCCGAGCUUGGAUGCCCCAAAAAUGGACGGGGCUAAAGCAAAGCACCGAUACUUCAGAUUGUUACCAUAGGUAACACAUGGUAGUUAGGCGUAGGGAUUGGGUCGAAGCAGGGUCGUGAGAUCCUGUGGACCGAUUCCUAUUGCAGAUCCUGGCGGCAGUAACAGCAUAGUGGAGUGAGAAUCUCCACCAUCGUAAGCGUAAGGGUUUCCCGGCAAUGCGUCGUCAGCCGGGAGUUAGUCGAUCCUAAGAUCAACCUCAACAGAGUUGAUCGAACGGGAAACUUGUUAAUAUUCAAGUACCUUAUAGGUGCGUUAUAAUCUAGCAUUCGCUUUCGGAUAGGGCAAGCAGAACCAUCGUUCUGUCUAAGUAUUCAAGAGUUGGGGAGUGUCGCAAUGACGAGAACCAACUCGAGAUGCGAAUGGCUUGGCGUUAGCUGAGUUUGCUCAAGUCCAAGAGACCAUGAAAAAAUGCGUAGUGAGUGGCCUGUAAUGAUCGUACCGAGAUCCGACACAGGUGCGCUGGAUGAGAAGUCUAAGAUGUAUCGGGUAUACCGUAGGCGAGGGAACUCGGCAAAAUAGUCCUGUACCUUUGGUAUAAGGGAUGCCUGCAGCGGUAAUGUAGAAUUGCCAUCGCAGGUCGCAGUGACAAGGGGGUCCCGACUGUUUAAUAAAAACACAGGUGACUGCUAGUCCGAAAGGAUGCGUAUAGUCACUGAAUCCUGGCCAGUGCAGGUACCUAAAACUUGGGUUCAACUGAGCUAAGGGCCUGUAAACGCCGGGAGUAACUCUGACUCUCUUAAGGUAGCCAAAUGCCUUGUCGGGUAAGUUCCGACGUGCAUGAAUGGAACAACGAGGGCCCCGCUGUCCCCGCCUACAACCCGGUGAAGCCACAUAAGCUGGACGAACAGUCCAGCAUCUUCCAUCGGGGAGAGAAGACCCCGUGGAGUUUUACUGCAGCUUGUGCUUGCGGUAUGGUGGAAAUUGCAUAGAGUAACUGGUAGCCAUGCUAAUGUUCUUUCGGGGACAUUGGAAGCAAAAGUGUAACACCAGUCAUUUUCCUUCGUACUGCUUACCCCAUUAAUUUGGGGGACAGGUGCAGGUGGGCAGUUCGGCUGGGGCGGCACCCCUUUGAAAAGAUAUCAAAGGGGCCCAAAGUUCGGUUCAAACGGGUCAGAAAUCCGUUGAAGAGGGCAAGGCCACAAACUGGACUGACUGGAUCUCCAAACGCACGGGAUUCAGAGAAGAAAUUCGGGCCUAGCGAUCCAUGACGUCCCCACUAUUGGGGGCUCGUGGUGACAGAAAAAUUACCCCAGGGAUAACAGGCUCGUCGCGGGCGAGAGCUCCUAUCGACCCCGCGGUUUGGUACCUCGAUGUCGGCUUUUCCCAUCCUGGCCCUGCAGCAGGGGCCAAGGGUGAGGCUGCUCGCCUAUUAAAGGGGAACAUGAGCUGGGUUUAGACCGUCGUGAGACAGGUCGGACUCUGCCUGAUGGAAGCGUGGAUACUUGAGGGGAAGUUGCUCCGAGUACGAGAGGAACAGAGCAGCGUGGCCUCUGGUUUAACGGUUGUCUGAUAAGGCAGGCCGUGCAGCUAAGCCAUUUAGGCUAACUCCUGAAAGCAUCUAAGGAGGAAACCUAUCCUGAGAAAAGGUAUCCGGUCGUAAGACAAAGGGUGGCAGCAGAAGACUGCUUUGAUAGAACAGCAGUGUAUGCUCCAAGGUUCGCCGAGGGGCGAGCUGGCUGUUACUAACAACCCAAUACAUCAGUC
rnacentral:rRNA from 1 species